AGGGGAAGGGCCGCGCCCCGGGACCAUGGCGGGCGAGGGGAGGGCAGAGCCCCGGGCGUCUGCGGCUCCUUCAGCCGCCCUCGGGCUCCCUCAUCGCCCCCCAGCGCGGCGAGCCUCGGGGGGAGGCCACGCGCAGGGUUCUGGCUGGAUGUGGCCGCCGUGGUGGUGCCAGGCGGCCGCUUGUGGCGCCCAGCGCUCUCAGGAAGAGCCCGGCGGUGAUGAGGGGUCGGUGCCCCCUCAGAGGCACGGGAAGGGCUUCAGGUUCAUUACUGUCACCUCGAAGGGAAGGCACCAAAAGCUCUCAAAAGCCCUAAAACUCCAGCUGCACCCUUUGAAAAUGGAAAUAACCGCACGGUGCCCCUCCUCUGCCGCGGCCACAUCACAGGGGCGAGGGAGGAGUCACACAAGGCCCUUUGAUGUUAUCAGAGAUGGGUUUCAAACAGCUCCAGUCGUGUGGAACAAAAUCUGGAGUCAUCCUUGCCCGUGGAAAGGCCUCAUUCCUCCAAGGACACGGUGACCCAAAGGUGAGAACCCCCCGUGCUCCACUCUGCCUCAGAAAUUACACCCCAAAAUAACCUCACCAAAAAUAACCUCCAGCCUGCCUUCCUUGUGAUUUUUAACCCAAAAUCUCUGUGUUUGCCUUCUUCCAUGGGCAUGAAGAGCUGCUGUUUUCAGUCUCUUUGUUUGCUGUUCCUGAGGUGGCCAAAUGCUGCUGCUGGUGUUGGGGUUGUUGUUUUUUCCAAGCUCAGAGUGACUUCACACACUUCCAUUUUGAAAAGGACUUGUAAAAAUGGCACCAAACUUUAUUUUCUUGCUUCUCAUCGAGGCUGUACCAGGACUGGCUGCAGUGUUCUGGUAUUCUCUGAAGAGAACGUGUGCCUGUGUUUGGAGGAAAUCCUGGGAACCUUUACAUCUCCAUCUCUGUCACUGUCCCACAGCAAAGGAACAAAAAGAGAGGCAACCUGCAGGAAGGACAGCUGGAGCACGUGGCUGAGACACAACCUCCCUCUGGAUGGAGCUGUUUAGGGCCUUACAGCCCCUUCAGCUUCCUUGGCUAAGCUCCCACAUGGUCAGUUAACAAGGAUGGAGGUGUUUCUCCUCCCUACAAGUCCUGCAAAGUUGGAAACCUGGAAUUUGUUUUGCAGGCUUGGAGGGAGAGUGGUGCUUGGUUUAUUUAAUCAUCACUGGUUGUGAUCUGUGUCCUUGUUCCACUGCGGUGUCAUGAGAUAAUUAAUACUAAAACACCCCUGCUUGUUAGUUUACACGUUUCUGAUGCCUUUAAAAUCAGUAAAAAAGGGCUGAUGACAUUGCACAGGGGAAAACAGAAUUUAAUACAUUCUUCUUGCAUCGGGAAUUACUUGGCAAAGCUGAUGGUGCACAGGGGACCAGACUCCAAGAAGAAAACCAAGCCUUGCUGAAAUCUGAAAGCACAGAUUGCACCCUGGAUGAAUGUGGGCAGGAGCUGGAUGAAUAAAGAGGGCUUCACUCACAGCAACAGUUCACCUAAAUCCACUUAAAAUACUUGCUGUAAUAGGAAAAAAAACCCCACAUUUGUCAUGCAGAGAAAGGCAAGGCAUCUAAGAAAAACCAUUUGAAAAACCUCCCCACCACAAAACUCACCCUGGUAUUGGACUUCUGAAACAGGUUCCAAAGAGCAACUCCAAGUGUGUAGGAUAAGAUCAGGACAUCAAUACAUAAUGCUUGCUCUCCAGCAGAGAGAUUUCAUUUAUCCUGUCAACAUGAGCUAAUUAAUAAUUAAAAAGGGCACUGUGAUCCUGAUCUGGGAGGUCCUAUAAAAUGAAAAUUCAAGCAAUUUGAGAGGCAGUAGAUUCCUGUUUAUUAAAAAACACGUUCAGGG